GUAGGUGAACCUGCGGAAGGAUCAUUAACAAGCAUUGGGUGCGGCCGUGGGCGCAAGCCUGCGGCUGUCAUUCCUACACACAUCUACCUUGUGAACUGUGAACCGAGUGCCCGGGCCGGCUAGGCCUGGGAACCCUUUUACAUUAACACUGUCUUAACGUCGCGGCCAGCGCCGCAUGACACUAAACAAAUACAACUUUUAACAAUGGAUCUCUUGGUUCCU
rnacentral:misc_RNA from 1 species